rnacentral:rRNA from 1 species
UACAGAGGUCUCAAGCGUUGUUCGGAUUCAUUGGGCGUAAAGGGUGUGUAGGUGGCGCCGUAAGUCGGGUGUGAAUUUCGGAGCUUAACUCCGAAACUGCAUUCGAUACUGCGGUGCUUGAGGACUGGAGAGGAGACGUGGAAUUCGAUGGUGUAGCAGUGAAAUGCGUAGAGAUCAUGAGGAAGACCAGUGGCGAAGGCGGGU